CGCAGGGUCGCCCGCGUGGAAGCCUCCGGGAGCUCUAGGAGCGUCGGGGCUGCGGGUGAACAAGGGCGCCGGGGACUCCAGGAAGUCGCCGCGGCCGCCACCUAGGCCCAGGGGGCACGCCGAUGAGCUUGGCCUACAGCCGUCCAAUGACCGCCCUGUGCGAUCCCGCUCGAGUGCGAAGCCAAGCGUUGGGGUCGGACUUCCCCCUGGCGCUGCAGGGCGCAACAGCAACAGCGCGCGGUCCAAGUCCAGCCCGGCGCGCCCCGCGAGCGGCAGGCCGGCGUCCGGCGUCACCCGAGACGCUCCGCGAACGCGAUCUAGUUCUCGUGGACGCGCGUCCUCGGCAGAGAAAGUGCGCUGCAAGGCUGACGCGCUGCGAGGGCGCGCGUUGGCCAGAGAGGGGUCGGCCGCGGCCCGGGGACCCAGGGGCGUCCCCGCAGGUGGCGACCUUCCAGGGGGAGCAGACCGACGCCGUCCGGCUGCGGGCGCCACCAAGCAGGCCAAGGCACCGAACAGACGGCCGCGGAGGCGCAGCAGGUCAAAAGGUGAAGACGUGCAGUCGAAGCAGGAGGCGCAGGUCCAGGUCAGGGAGGCAGUGGUAGAUGCGCCCCUCCCCGCGGUGGCGCAGCCGCUUCCCACCCCGCGGCGCAUCAGGAGGGCGCCCCCCGCCACCCGGGACGGGCCCGCCAG